rnacentral:rRNA from 1 species
UACGUAGGGGCAAGCGUUAUCCGGAAUUACUGGGCGUAAAGAGUACGUAGGUGCCCUGUAAGCGUAGGGUUUAAGGCGACGGCCCAACCGUCGUUCGCCCUGUGAACUGCAGAGCUUGAGUGCUGGAGGGGAAGGCGGAAUUCCUAGUGUAGCGGUGAAAUGCGUAGAUAUUAGGAGGAACACCAGUGGCGAAGGCGGCCUUCUGGACAGUAACUGACACUGAGGUACGAAAGCGUGGGUAGCAAACAGGAUUAGAUACCCUGGUAGUCCCUGAGCGGGCU